GCUCGGUGAGGCCUUCAGACUGGCCCAGGGAGGUCGGCAACGACCACCCAGGGCCGGAAAGUUGGUCAAACCCGGUCAUUUAGAGGAAGUAAAAGUCGUAACAAGGUCUCCGUAGGUGAACCUGCGGAGGGAUCAUU
rnacentral:rRNA from 1 species